ACCUGAUUGUGUAAAGGACAUGCUGAAAACGUAGCUGCCUCUGGGGCAGGUACGGGGUGGAAACUGCAUUACAGCACACUGAAGUGGAAGGGGGAUUUCUGAAGACAAUGAAGUAGCGCAGGCACUUCGCAGAAUUGCUUUUUUCCACGAUAAUGAGCAAGAACGGGGUCCUGGAGCCCUCUGGUGGAUGUCUUGCAGAAGACAGGCAGCUGAAAGCGUAAGUAAACGAACUUUAAAAAUGCUGUUGCUAUUUUCCCAUCCUUAUUUCUCAGCUGAUUAUAAAUGUGCUUAAUUUGAAAUCCAAAAGGUGAUUAUUUCUGUCACUCCUGAGAGAACUCAUGUCACAAUUUCAGAGUCUCACGGGUGAAUUGACCUGCAUCUCAAG
rnacentral:lncRNA from 1 species